rnacentral:pre_miRNA from 1 species
UCUAGAUGCGGAUCAGUCAGCUGGGGAAGCCUAUGCCGACUGAUCCUGUAAGCCUCGUUUCACAAGGCAUAAGGGAUUGGUCGGCAAAGGCUUCCCCAGCUGGCCGAUCCGCGACUAGA